rnacentral:rRNA from 1 species
CGGAUCCGCGCCGCUGCAGAGUUUGAUCCUGGCUCAGGAUAAACGCUGGCGGCGCACAUAAGACAUGCAAGUCGAACGGAAGCCGUUAUAAUAGAAAUGGAUUGAAAGAUUUAUCUAGAUUGAAGUGGAAGUUAUAACAAUGACUUUAGUGGCGGACUGGUGAGUAACGCGUGAGCAACCUGCCUAUUAGAGGGGAAUAACAGUGAGAAAUCAUUGCUAAUACCGCAUAAGCUGACGAUAUCGCAUGAUGUAGUUAGAAAAGGAGUAAUCCGCUAAUAGAUGGGCUCGCGUCUGAUUAGCUAGUUGGUUAGGUAACGGCUGACCAAGGCAACGAUCAGUAGCCGAGCUGAGAGGCUCUACGGCCACAUUGGGACUGAGAUACGGCCCAGACUCCUACGGGAGGCAGCAGUCGGGAAUAUUGCGCAAUGGAGGAAACUCUGACGCAGUGACGCCGCGUAUAGGAAGAAGGUUUUAGGAUUGUAAACUAUUUUAGACAGGGAAGAGAACAGACUGUACCUGUAGAAUAAGCUCCGGCUAACUACGUGCCAGCAGCCGCGGUAAUACGUAGGGAGCAAGCGUUAUCCGGAAUUAUUGGGUGUAAAGGGUGCGUAGACGGGAACUUAAGUUGGUUGUGAAAUCCCUUGGCUUAACUGAGGAACUGCAACCAAAACUGGGAUUCUUGAGUGCUGGAGAGGAAAGUGGAAUUCSUAGUGUAGCGGUGAAAUGCGUAGAUAUUAGGAGGAACACCAGUGGCGAAGGCGGCUUUCUGGACAGUAACUGACGUUGAGGCACGAAAGUGUGGGGAGCAAACAGGAUUAGAUACCCUGGUAGUCCACACUGUAAACGAUGGAUACUAGGUGUAGGAGAUGAUUUCAUCAUCUGUGCCGAAAGCAAACGCAAUAAGUAUCCCACCUGGGGAGUACGGCCGCAAGGUUGAAACUCAAAGGAAUUGACGGGGGCCCGCACAAGCAGUGGAGUAUGUGGUUUAAUUCGAAGCAACGCGAAGAACCUUACCAGGGCUUGACAUAUAGAUGAAUACUUAAGAGAUUAGGUAGUAUUUUUAAUACGUCUAUACAGGUGGUGCAUGGUUGUCGUCAGCUCGUGUCGUGAGAUGUUGGGUUAAGUCCCGCAACGAGCGCAACCCCUGUUCUUAGUUGCCAGCAUGUAGAGAUGGGAACUCUAAGAAGACUGCCGGUGAGAAAUCGGAGGAAGGUGGGGACGACGUCAAAUCAUCAUGCCCUUUAUGUCCUGGGCUACACACGUACUACAAUGGCCGCAACAAAGAGAAACGAAACAGUGAUGUGGAGUAAAACUAAAAAAACGGUCUCAGUUCGGAUUGAAGGCUGAAAUUCGCCUUCAUGAAGUCGGAAUUGCUAGUAAUGGCAGGUCAGCAUACUGCCGUGAAUACGUUCCCGGGCCUUGUACACACCGCCCGUCACACCAUGAGAGUUGGAGAUACCCGAAGCCUGUGAGCUAACUUUUAGAGGCAGCAGUCGAAGGUAGAGCCAAUGAUUGGGGUGAAGUCGUAACAAGGUAA